CAGCUUUUGACAUGUCCUGGACGGAUUGCAGAGAUGCGAUCUUCUCUUCGGAGCCGGGAACACAGGUGCUGCAUGGCUGUCGUCAGCUCGUGUCGUGAGAUGUUGGGUUAAGUCCCGCAACGAGCGCAACCCUCGCCUUUAGUUGCCAUCAUUCAGUUGGGCACUCUAGAGGGACUACCGGUGAUAAGCCGGAGGAAGGUGGGGAUGACGUCAAGUCCUCAUGGCCCUUACAGGCUGGGCUACACACGUGCUACAAUGGCGGUGACAGAGGGAUGCCAAGUCGCAAGGCCUAGCAAAUCUCAAAAAGCCGUCUCAGUUCGGAUUGCACUCUGCAACUCGAGUGCAUGAAGUUGGAAUCGCUAGUAAUCGCGGAUCAGCACGCCGCGGUGAAUACGUUCCC
rnacentral:rRNA from 1 species